AGAGUUUGAUCAUGGCUCAGAUUGAACGCUGGCGGCAUGCCUUACACAUGCAAGUCGAACGGCAGCACGGGAGCAAUCCUGGUGGCGAGUGGCGAACGGGUGAGUAAUAUAUCGGAACGUGCCCAGUCGUGGGGGAUAACGUAGCGAAAGCUACGCUAAUACCGCAUACGAUCUAUGGAUGAAAGCGGGGGAUCGCAAGACCUCGCGCGAUUGGAGCGGCCGAUAUCAGAUUAGCUAGUUGGUGGGGUAAAAGCCCACCAAGGCGACGAUCUGUAGCUGGUCUGAGAGGACGACCAGCCACACUGGAACUGAGACACGGUCCAGACUCCUACGGGAGGCAGCAGUGGGGAAUUUUGGACAAUGGGCGCAAGCCUGAUCCAGCAAUGCCGCGUGCAGGACGAAGGCCUUCGGGUUGUAAACUGCUUUUGUACGGAACGAAAAGGUCUGCCCUAAUACGGCGGGCUCAUGACGGUACCGUAAGAAUAAGCACCGGCUAACUACGUGCCAGCAGCCGCGGUAAUACGUAGGGUGCAAGCGUUAAUCGGAAUUACUGGGCGUAAAGCGUGCGCAGGCGGUUUUGUAAGACAGAUGUGAAAUCCCCGGGCUCAACCUGGGACCUGCAUUUGUGACUGCAAAGCUAGAGUACGGUAGAGGGGGAUGGA
rnacentral:rRNA from 1 species